UGUAAGCGUAUACCAAAGUUGUUGCAGUUAAAACGCUCGUAGUCGGACUUUGGCAGUUCCGGAUGUGUGCACGUCGUGUGCGCACUUCGCGGGGAUUGCUUUUGUGGUCUUGCGUAGGAUGAGGCACUUUUAUUAGUGAACGUCCUCACGCAACCACUUUUUACUGUGAGAAAAUCAGAGUGCUCAAAGCAGGCAUUUGCCGUGAAUGUAUUAGCAUGGAAUAAUAGAAUAGGACUCGGUUCUAUUUUGUUGGUUUGUUGGGACUGAGUAAUGAUUAAGAGGGACAGUUGGGGGCAUUUGUAUUCCGGCGCUAGAGGUGAAAUUCUUAGAUUGCCGGAAGACAAACUGCUGCGAAAGCGUCUGCCAAGGAUGUUUUCAUUGA
rnacentral:rRNA from 1 species